rnacentral:rRNA from 1 species
CAGUAGCCGCGGGAAUACGGAGGGGGCUAGCGUUGUUCGGAAUUACUGGGCGUAAAGCGCACGUAGGCGGCUUUGUAAGUUAGAGGUGAAAGCCCGGAGCUCAACUCCGGAAUUGCCUUUAAGACUGCAGAGCUAGCAGGUGAGAGAGGUGAGUGGAAUUCCGAGUGUAGAGGUGAAAUUCGUAGAUAUUCGGAAGAACACCAGUGGCGAAGGCGGCUCACUGGACGACUGUUGACGCUGAGGUGCGAAAGCGUGGGGAGCAAACAGGAUUAGAUACCCCCGUAGUCCCUGUCUCUUAUAC